rnacentral:rRNA from 1 species
GAUGAACGCUGGCUACAGGCUUAACACAUGCAAGUCGAGGGGAAACGACGGGGAAGCUUGCUUCCCCGGGCGUCGACCGGCGCACGGGUGAGUAACGCGUAUCCAACCUGCCUCUGACUGAGGGAUAACCCGUCGAAAGUCGGCCUAAUACCUCAUGGCAUCGUCUGCGGGCAUCCAACGACGAUUAAAGAUUUCAUCGGUCAGGGAUGGGGAUGCGUCUGAUUAGCUAGUUGGCGGGGUAACGGCCCACCAAGGCGACGAUCAGUAGGGGUUCUGAGAGGAAGGUCCCCCACGUUGGAACUGAGACACGGUACAAACACCUAAGGGAGGCAGAAGUGAGGAAUAUUGGUCAAUGGGCGCGAGCCUGAACCAGCCCAGUAGCGUGAAGGAUGACGGCCCUAUGGGUUGUAAACUGAUUUUAUGCGGGGAUAAAGUGAGGGACGUGUCCUUCAUUGCAGGUACCGAAUGAAUAAGGACCGGCUAAUUCCGUG